rnacentral:rRNA from 1 species
GACGAACGCUGGCGGCAGGCUUAACACAUGCAAGUCGAACGCCGUAGCAAUACGGAGUGGCAGACGGGUGAGUAACGCGUGGGAACGUGCCUUUUGGUUCGGGACAACUGAGGGAAACUUCAGCUAAUACCGGAUAAGCCCCGAGGGGGAAAGAUUUAUCGCCAAAAGAGCGGCCCGCGUCAGAUUAGGUAGUUGGUGGGGUAAUGGCCUACCAAGCCGAUGAUCUGUAGGUGGUCUGAGAGGAUGAUCACCCACACUGGGACUGAGACACGGCCCAGGAUCCUACGGGAGGCAGAAGUGGGGAAUAUUGGACAAUGGGGGAAACCCUGAUCCAGCCAUGCCGCGUGGAUGAAGAAGGCCCUAGGGUUGUAAAGUCCUUUCGCCGCUGAAGAUAAUGACGGUAAGCGGAGAAGAAGCCCCGGCUAAUUUCGUGCCAGCCGCCGCCGUAAGAC